rnacentral:rRNA from 1 species
AUCGAACGCUGGCGGCAUGCCUUACACAUGCAAGUCGAACGGUAACAGGUCUUCGGAUGCUGACGAGUGGCGAACGGGUGAGUAAUGCAUCGGAACGUGCCCAGUAGUGGGGGAUAGCCCGGCGAAAGCCGGAUUAAUACCGCAUACGACCUGAGGGUGAAAGGGGGGGAUCGCAAGGCCUCUCGCUAUUGGAGCGGCCGAUGUCAGAUUAGCUAGUUGGUGGGGUAAAGGCCUACCAAGGCAACGAUCUGUAGUUGGUCUGAGAGGACGACCAGCCACACUGGGACUGAGACACGGCCCAGACUCCUACGGGAGGCAGCAGUGGGGAAUUUUGGACAAUGGGCGCAAGCCUGAUCCAGCAAUGCCGCGUGCAGGAAGAAGGUCUUCGGGUUGUAAACUGCUUUUGUCAGGGAAGAAAUCUUCUGGGUUAAUACCUCGGGAGGAUGACGGUACCUGAAGAAUAAGCACCGGCUAACUACGUGCCAGCAGCCGCCGUAAGAC